GUCAGAUGACUGAGAGAAUGACAUGAGCUCAGUGGCAUGUGAGCUGUGUUCCUUUUCAUUUCUGAACACAUUGGAAUUGUCCGGUUGGAAUAUUACUGAAGAUUUAUGAUAAAAACAUCCUAAAGAUUGAUGCUAUACAUCGUUUGACAUGUUUCUAUGAACGGUUAUGACUGUAACCACCAGAGGACUUGAAAAUGAGCCGGAGCUGAGAGGAUCACCAAAACUAAAGGCUACUUACAAAACCUGGUGGAUUUAUUGUUCCACAGUGUUGUGGGAACCCCCUUACCACAUCAGGAGCAGAAGGCUGGGGCAGUGCAUGGCCAGGCACCAGUCCCACUUCAGAUGGAGGACAGAAGAGAUGGUUUGUCAUGGAGUCCCCUGACUAAAAGACAGGUUGAUACAGAUGUCUGAACUGGGAAAGAC
rnacentral:lncRNA from 1 species